CAGGGUAUAGCUUAGUUGGUAAAGCGCUGGGCUGGGGGUCCAGAGACCGUGAGUUCAAGUCUCGCUACCCUGACCA
rnacentral:tRNA from 1 species